GACGAAGGAUGCAAGCGUUUAUCCGGAUUCAUUGGGUUUAAAGGGAGCGUAGGCGGCCCUAUAAGUCAGUGGUGAAAUCUCUCGGCUUAACCGAGAAAUUGCCAUUGAUACUGUAGGGCUUGAGUACAGUUGCCGUUGGCGGAAUAUGACAUGUAGUGGUGAAAUACAUAGAGAUGUCAUAGAACACCGAUUGCGAAGGCAGCUAACGAAGCUGUAACUGACGCUGAGGCUCGAAAAGUGCGGGGGAUCAAACAGG
rnacentral:rRNA from 1 species